rnacentral:rRNA from 1 species
AGUGAGCGCUGGCGGUAGGCCUAACACAUGCAAGUCGAACGGCAGCACAGUAAGAGCUUGCUCUUACGGGUGGCGAGUGGCGGACGGGUGAGGAAUACAUCGGAAUCUACUUUUUCGUGGGGGAUAACGUAGGGAAACUUACGCUAAUACCGCAUACGACCUACGGGUGAAAGCAGGGGAUCUUCGGACCUUGCGCGAUUGAAUGAGCCGAUGUCGGAUUAGCUAGUUGGCGGGGUAAAGGCCCACCAAGGCGACGAUCCGUAGCUGGUCUGAGAGGAUGAUCAGCCACACUGGAACUGAGACACGGUCCAGACUCCUACGGGAGGCAGCAGUGGGGAAUAUUGGACAAUGGGCGCAAGCCUGAUCCAGCAAUACCGCGUGGGUGAAGAAGGCCUUCGGGUUGUAAAGCCCUUUUGUUGGGAAAGAAAAGCAGCAGGUUAAUACCCCGCUGUUCUGACGGUACCCAAAGAAUAAGCACCGGCUAACUUCGUG